AUUGAACGCUGGCGGCAUGCCUUACACAUGCAAGUCGAACGGCAGCACGGGGCAACCUGGUGGCGAGUGGCGAACGGGUGAGUAAUGCAUCGGAACGUACCUUUCAGUGGGGGAUAACGUAGCGAAAGUUACGCUAAUACCGCAUAUUCUGUGAGCAGGAAAGCAGGGGAUCGCAAGACCCUGCGCUGAUUGAGCGGCCGAUGUCAGAUUAGCUAGUUGGUGAGGUAAAGGCUCACCAAGGCGCCGGUCUGUAGCGGGUCUGAGAGGAUGAGCCGCCACACUGGAACUGAGACACGGUCCAGACUCCUACGGGAGGCAGCAGUGGGGAAUUUUGGACAAUGGGGGCAACCCUGAUCCAGCCAUGCCGCGUGAGUGAAGAAGGCCUUCGGGUUGUAAAGCUCUUUCGGCCGGGAAGAAAUCGCACGGGCUAAUACCCUGUGUGGAUGACGGUACCGGAAUAAGAAGCACCGGCUAACUACGUGCCAGCCGCCGCGGUAACAC
rnacentral:rRNA from 1 species